CGAGCGAUGAAGUUUCCUUCGGGAAACGGAUUAGCGGCGGACGGGUGAGUAACACGUGGGCAACCUACCUCAUAGAGGGGAAUAGCCUUCCGAAAGGGAGAUUAAUACCGCAUAACAUUUUUGAUUGGCAUCAAUCGGAAAUCAAAGGAGCAAUCCGCUAUGAGUGGGCCCGCGUCGCAUUAGUUAGUUGGUGGGGUAAAGGCCUACCAAGACGACGAUGCGUAGCCGACCUGAGAGGGUGAUCGGCCACAUUGGGACUGAGACACGGCCCAGACUCCUACGGGAGGCAGCAGUGGGGAAUAUUGCACGAUGGAGGAAACUCUGAUGCAGCAACGCCGCGUGAGCGAUGAAGGUCUUCGGAUCGUAAAGCUCUGUCUUUAGGGAUGAUAAUGACAGUACCUAAGGAGGAAGCCACGGCUAACUACGUGCCAGCAGCCGCGGUAAUACGUAGGUGGCGAGCGUUAUCCGGAAUUAUUGGGCGUAAAGGGAGCGUAGGCGGAUACUUAAGUGGGAUGUGAAAGACUUGGGCUCAACCCAAGGGCUGCAUUCCAAACUGAGUAUCUAGAGUGCAGGAGAGGAGAGUGGAAUUCCUAGUGUAGCGGUGAAAUGCGUAGAGAUUAGGAAGAACACCAGUGGCGAAGGCGACUCUCUGGACUGUAACUGACGCUGAGGCUCGAAAGCGUGGGGAGCAAACAGGAUUAGAUACCCUGGUAGUCCACGCCGUA
rnacentral:rRNA from 1 species